rnacentral:rRNA from 1 species
UACGUAGGGGGCAAGCGUUGUCCGGAUUCAUUGGGCGUAAAGAGCUCGUAGGCGGCUUGGCAAGUCGGGUGUGAAAACUUCAGGCUCAACCUGGAGCGGCCACUCGAUACUGCCAUGGCUUGAGUCCGGUAGGGGACCACGGAAUUCCUGGUGUAGCGGUGAAAUGCGCAGAUAUCAGGAGGAACACCGGUGGCGAAGGCGGCAUCCUGGACCAACACUGACGCUGAGUGAGCGAAAGCCAGGGGAGCAAACGGG